rnacentral:lncRNA from 1 species
AUAACCCAUGACCUUAAAACAUAAUUGGGACCUCAUUCUCAUCCAUAACACACCAAAAAUAUUUUCUCAAAUCCCUAAGGCAAGAACAAGCUAGGGUUUCUAAUACUUGGCCAAUCAAAGCAUCUGGUAUUGAAAUCUCUCCAUAAUUCUUAAUAUUUCAGGCAUGAUACUCCACCCUUAAACUUGUUUUACUUAAAGUAUGAAACUAUAUGGUUGUACAUAU